AAUCCAGACUCCUACGGGAGGCAGCAGUGAGGAAUAUUGGUCAAUGGGCGGAAGCCUGAACCAGCCAAGUCGCGUGAGGGAAGAAGGCCCUGCGGGUCGCAGACCUCUUUGGACGGGGAGCAAGGCCGCCGACGUGUCGGCGGAAGGAGAGUACCCGUAGAACAAGCAUCGGCUAACUCCGUGCCAGCAGCCGCGGUAAUACGGAGGAUGCGAGCGUUAUCGGGAUUGAUUGGGUUUAAAGGGAGCGCGGGCGGCACGGCAAGCCGGCGGUAAAAUCGCGGGGCUCAACGCGGACCGGCCGUCGGAACUGCCGGGCUAGAGUGGGCGAGAAGUGCGCGGAAUGCGUGGGGUAGCGGUGAAAUGCAU
rnacentral:rRNA from 1 species